rnacentral:rRNA from 1 species
CACGUAGGGCGCGAGCGUUGUCCGGAAUUAUUGGGCGUAAAGAGCUCGUAGGCGGUUUGUCGCGUCUGCUGUGAAAACGCGAGGCUCAACCUCGCGCCUGCAGUGGGUACGGGCAGACUAGAGGUGCGGUAGGGGAGAUUGGAAUUCCUGGUGUAGCGGUGGAAUGCGCAGAUAUCAGGAGGAACACCGAUGGACGAAGGCAGA